AGGUUUGACAUACAAGUAGUAGGAAGGAAACUGGACGACCUUCGGGGAGCUUGUACAGGUGCUGCAUGGCUGUCGUCAGCUCGUGUCGUUGAGAUGUUCGGUUAAGUCCGCUAACGAGCGCAACCCUCGCUGUGUGUUUACAAGUGUCACACGGAACUGCCGGUCAUAAACCGGAGGAAGGUGGGAUGACGUCAAGUCAGCAUGGCCUUUAUAUCCUGGGCUACACACACGCUACAAUGGGAAGGGACAAUAGGUUGCGAAGCCGCGAGGCGGAGCCAAUCCAGCAAAACUUCCCUCAGUUCAGAUUGCAGGCUGCAACUCGCCUGCAUGAAGUUGGAGUUGCUAGUAAACGCAGGUCAGCCAUACUGCGUUGAAUACGUUCCCGGGGCUU
rnacentral:rRNA from 1 species